rnacentral:rRNA from 1 species
GGAUCCGCAAAGUCGGCCCGGGGAAUUCAACCUGUCGGCUGKCGGCGGGCUGCGUGUUCUCGGGAUCCGCAAAGACUCACGCGCAGUUCAGGCCGUCACCGGUCGGUGCACUUUUCUCGGGUAGAGCGCCACGACCGGUUUUCCGGCAGUCAGAAGCCGGCGUGGAAGGUGACCACCUCUUGUCAAAAGGAGGGGGUGUUAUAGCCACGCCGCGUGGAGCUUGCUGGGAGACCGAGGAAAUGCCGUGUCCCGCCUGCCUUCGGCCCUCGUCGUUCGAUCAAAUUGAGUGUACUGCUUGCAGUGCUCUCUAAGCGCGGAUGGCGAUCGGCUGGAUGGCACGGGUGCACUCAGGGUCAGUGGCGAAUCGGUCGGCCCUCCACCCGACCCGUCUUGAAACACGGACCAAGGAGUCUAACAUGUGCGCGAGUCAUGGGGUUCUACGAAACCUAAAGGCACAAUGAAAGUGAAGGCAGCCUCGGGUUUUGCCUAGGUAGGAUCCUCUUCCUCCGGGGUAGAGGUGCACUACCGGCCCGUCUCGUCCGCAUUUGUCGGUGAGGCGGAGCAAGAGCGUACACGUUGGGACCCGAAAGAUGGUGAACUAUGCCUGAGUAGGACGAAGCCAGAGGAAACUCUGGUGGAGGUCCGUAGCGA